UACGAAGGGGGCUAGCGUUGCUCGGAAUCACUGGGCGUAAAGCGCGCGUAGGCGGAUUUUUAAGUCAGGGGUGAAAUCCUGGAGCUCAACUCCAGAACUGCCUUUGAUACUGGCGAGCUUGAGUCCGGGAGAGGUGAGUGGAACUGCGAGUGUAGAGGUGAAAUUCGUAGAUAUUCGCAAGAACACCAGUGGCGAAGGCGGCUCACUGGCCCGGUACUGACGCUGAGGUGCGAAAGCGUGGGGAGCAAACAGG
rnacentral:rRNA from 1 species